GACGAACGCUGGCGGCGUGCUUAACACAUGCAAGUCGAACGAGUGGCGAACGGGUGAGUAAUAUAUCGGAACGUACCGAGUAAUGGGGGAUAACUAAUCGAAAGAUUAGCUAAUACCGCAUAUUAUUCGAGCGGCCGAUAUCGGAUUAGCUAGUUGGUGGGGUAAAGGCCUACCAAGGCGACGAUCAGUAGCGGGUCUGAGAGGAUGAUCCGCCAAACUGGGACUUGGACACGGCCCAGACCCCUACGGGAGGCAGGAGUGGGGAAUUUUGGACAAUGGGCGCAAGCCUGAUCCAGCCAUGCCGCGUGUCUGAAGAAGGCCUUCGGGUUGUAAAGCUCUGUUAAUCGGGACGCGGUACCGGAAUAGAAAGCCACGGCUAACUACGUGCCAGCAGCCGCGGUAAUAC
rnacentral:rRNA from 1 species